CGGGAAGCGGCGGCUGGCUGUCGUCGGAAUGGCCUUUCACUGCUCGAGCUGGCGAACUGCACAAGUGUGAAACUGAAUUAAAGGACUGACGCGCAGGGUGACAGGCUGUGGCAGAAGAUGCAAUUCUGCUCAUGGGAACAAGGAAGAGGACUGCUGAACUGGGAGUAGUUGCCAGCAACAGCCACUCACAGCAAAAGGCAAUGGCUGUUUACCUGCAUUGCUCAGUGGGACCAGGAAG